rnacentral:tRNA from 1 species
AAAUAUUAGUUUAAUUAAAAAUAAGAUUUUUCUAAAAUCAAGAUUUCAAAAAGAAAUAUUUUAG